UCCUCUGUAGUUCAGUCGGUAGUACGGCGGACUGUUAAUCCGUAUGUCACUGGUUCGAGUCCAGUCAGAGGAGCCA
rnacentral:tRNA from 1 species